rnacentral:rRNA from 1 species
CCUACGGGAGGCAGCAGUGGGGCAUAUUGGGCAAUGGGCGCAAGCCUGACCCAGCAACGCCGCGUGAAGGAAGAAGGCUUUCGGGUUGUAAACUUCUUUUGUCAGGGAAGAGUAGAAGACGGUACCUGACGAAUAAGCCACGGCUAACUACGUGCCAGCAGCCGCGGUAAUACGUAGUUGGCAAGCGUUGUCCGGAUUUACUGGGUGUAAAGGGCGUGUAGCCGGGUUGACACGUCAGAUGUGAAAUCCUGCGGCUUAACCGCAGCACUGCAUUUGAAACUGUUGAUCGUGAGUACUGGAGAGGCAGACGGAAUCCCUAGUGUAGCGGUGAAAUGCGUAGAUAUUAGGAGGAACACCAGUGGCGAAGGCGGUCUGCUGGACAGCAACUGACGGUGAGGCGCGAAAGCGUGGGGAGCAAACAGGAUUAGAUACCCCGGUAGUC